CGUCUGAGAAGGGGAGCAGGCUUCUGAGCACUCUGGGACGCGCUGCCUCCCCUCAAACGCGAAUGAUCUGCUUUCACUGCUGCUCUGGGAACACAGCAGAACGUGACUGUCCACGCUUGCCUUGCCUCACUUCAAGAACCAGCAGAAAUUAAUCAGUUAUCUAUGAAUCCCAGUUCUCAGGAGAAAGAACCUGACUGGUCAAAUUUAUGUCAGGUUGUCCAUUCUUGAUAAAGUUGCUUUGAGCCAGUCCAGGCUCUUUGUUUUGUAAUGCAUACAGGACUGCCAGAGGCCCAUCCUUGUAGCCUGUGGGUCUCAAAAAAGGUCAGUGAUGUUCUUGACAAAGAUUCCAAAUGUAUCUACCAGAGACCAAAAAAGGAGUCAAUUGCAGCCUGAAAUCAAAAAGCAUAAAGAACAGUGGACAUGAUGGGGUGCCUGGG